rnacentral:precursor_RNA from 1 species
CUGAACGCGCCCGAUCUCGUCUGAUCUCCGAAGCUAAGCAGGGUUGGGCCUGGUUAGUA